GUCUUGCUGUGGCGCUACAGAAGCAACAAAGGUGGAAGAUCUCAGUCUCCCUCUAGUGUCAGUCAACAGCAGAACAGCAGUCAGGCAUCAGAGCAGAACCAGAGUGAAGCGGGAUAUAAAUCACUCAUGUCUGGAACUGCUCAUACGUAUGACUCUAUUGAUGCAACAAAUAAUAAAGACAUAAGCACAGACAUUGUAAGUGGACCUGCUGAAGUCACCUAUGCUGAGAUUGAACUCAAAUCCACAGAGAAACAGAAGAAAAAGAA